GACGAACGCUGGCGGCGUGCCUAAUACAUGCAAGUAGAACGCACAGUUCAUACUGCAGCUUGCUACACCAUAAACGGUGAGUUGCGAACGGGGGAGUAACGCGGAGGUAACCUGCCUGGUAGCGGGGGGUAACUAUUGGAAACGAUAGCUAAUACCGCCUAAUAUUGAUUAUUGCAUGAUAAUUGAUUGAAAGAUGCUAUUGCAUCACUACCAGAUGGACCUGCGUUGUAUUAGCUAGUAGGUGAGGUAACGGCUCGCCUAGGGGAGGAGACAUAGCCGACCUGCGAGGGUGAUCGGCCACACUGGGACUGAGACACGGCCCAGACGCCUACGGGAGGCAGCAGUAGGGCAUCUUCGGCAAUGGAGGAAAGUCUGACCGAGCAACGCCGCGUGAGUGAAGAAGGGUUUCGGAUCGUAAAGCUCUGUUGUAAGGGAAGAACGGGUGUGAGAGUGGAAAGUUCACACUGUGACGGUAUCUGACCAGAAAGGGACGGCUAACUACGUG
rnacentral:rRNA from 1 species